CCUAAAUGUGUGGAGGACUUCCAAACAUUUCAACAAGAAGGUUGGCACUAUGAGCUUGACAACCCUGAAGAAGAGAUAACGUACAAAGGUUUGGUUAUUAAUUUGAACCCAAUGGAGCAAGCACAUUUAUAUGUGAUGUUACUUAUACUUCAAAAAGUAUUUGAAUAUAAACAUCAAUCUGUCACUUAGGUGUUGUCUUCAAUGAGAUGAAAGGAGUUUACUCUCAACCCGAUAACAUAAUGGGACGUGUAUCCCAGCAGGUAAAUUAAUUGUUCUGUUUCAGUUGUUUAAUAUGUUUGCCUUUACGUUCGAGUUCUAAGAUUUUUGGAGAACCCAAUUACAUGUUUUAUUGUACUUCGUGAUAUUGCCCUGAGAUACCUUUUGGGAGGGCCUAACACGAUCUGGCCUUUUUUACAAUCUACAUCUAUUGCUGACUUUAAACUUUGACCAUAUAAAUUAGUUGAUUUUUUGGGUUAACUUCUAUACUGUCAUUAUUUUCAACCAGAUCCAGACUCAUGGGUUGGUAUAUUGCUCCUUUUUUCUUCCUGAUGAGUUGCUUAACCAAGCAUUGCAAUGAACCUGGGUCCAGGGAUGCUGCACUUUCCUGAUAUCAUUUUGCUUCUUGUUUCAGCUGGGUUUAUUUUAGACUUUAGUACAGAAGGGAGCUGUAACUUUAUCUUAUUAUAUGCUUAAUUGAUGGGUUCUUUCCUGGUUUAUCUGUUUGUGCUAAUAGGCCCGGAUACCCGAUUUUGCAUGAUCUUGAGAACCCUAAGGCAUUUUUUCAUAGUCUCUCUUUUUCAUGAUCUUGUUUUGCCAGUUGGUAGAAGUAGAAUGCAUAACUUUUUGGAACCUUCUGCAGGCACUUUCCCCCGAGAACACAUAUGGUGUUGAUAGUGGCGGGGACCCAAAUGAAAUCCCAAAGCUUACUUUUGAAGAAUUCAAGGUUUGAUCUUAGUCUGGAUCCAAAUUUGGGAUUUUCAUUUAUUAGUUACUUUGCAUGCUCUGUACCAGCAAUGGAGUGCUUCAUGGUGUCUUUUGAGCUGUUAGCUAUUACAUGGGCCAGCAAGGGCCCUUUACUCUUUUAUAGUUAGGGGUUUCGACAAUUGGUGGUUUUUGCUAAAAUUAUAAAGAUCAAGUGCUAGAUCACUGCACCUGAUUUCAUUGUAGCACCACCAAUUUUUUUUUUUUGUAUUUUGGAGUAGCAUUAAUCUAAUUUUAAUUUUUAGUUUGUUGCUUAUUAGUUUUCACUUUUUUUGUAUGUCUUGUGUCCAGGAGUUCCACAGUAAGUAUUAUCAUCCAAGCAAUGCGAGGAUCUGGUUCUACGGUGAUGAUGACCCAAAAGAGCGGCUGCGUGUUCUAAGUGGUAAGUUGCAAAUCUGAGAGCAAAUGCUCAUCUUAUCACAUGGUUGUAUUUCUUGAACCACCUUUUCAUGAUGCUCCAACUUUUCCUGUUUCUUACCCUCUUAAAACUUAUGUCCUUUUCCUACCCCUUUCUUUUCUAGAAUACCUUGACCAGUUUGAAGCCAGCCCUGCUCCUAAUGAAUCGAAGGUUUGGCCACAGAGGCUAUUCAAAGAACCAGUGAGGGUCAUAGAGAAGUACCCUGCUGGUCAAGAAGGUGAUUUAACAAAGAAAUAUAUGGUGUGCACUAAUUGGCUGUUGUCGGAGGAACCACUAGAUGUAGAAACUGAGCUCGCACUUGGUUUCCUGGAUCAUCUAUUGCUGGGGACUCCUGCUUCACCACUUAGACGGAUUCUUCUUGAGAGUGGUUUAGGAGAUGCUAUUGUGGGGGGUGGUGUUGAGGAUGAGCUCCUUCAACCACAAUUUAGUAUAGGCCUGAAAGGUGUAUCAGAGGAUAACAUUCAAAAAGUUGAAGAGUUGGUUAUGCAGACUUUGAAGAAUUUGGCAGAAGAAGGUUUUGCAUCAGAAGCAGUGGAGGCUUCCAUGAACACAAUCGAAUUUGCUCUUAGGGAGAACAACACAGGAUCAUUCCCUCGAGGCUUAUCACUGAUGCUUCGUUCGAUUGUAUGAAUAACUAUCUCAUCACUUUCAUUUUAAGAACAGGCAUAUGUUUCAACAUAUCCAUGUCAUACCUUCAACUUCACAAAAAAUUGCAGGCCAAAUGGAUAUAUGAUAUGGACCCUUUUGAGCCUUUGAAAUAUGAACAGCCAUUGCAGCAAUUGAAAGCGCGCAUUGCAGAGGAGGGAUCAAAAGCUGUGUUCUCACCACUCAUUGAAAAAUUUAUUUUGAAUAAUACACAUCGUGUCACAGUUGAAAUGCAGGUCAGUAGAGAACUUCUCACUUCAGAUUGGUUACAUUAAGAAGUUAAGAUAGCCUUUUCCUUAUGCCUCAGAUUUACUUCAAAUUUAAUCUUUAAUGUGCAGCCUGAUCCAGAGAAAGCAUCACGUGAUGAAGCAGCUGAGAAAGAAAUUCUAAAACAAGUGAAAGCUAGCAUGACUCAGGAGGAUCUUGCAGAGUUGGCACGCGCUACAAAGGAGCUAAAGGAAAAACAAGAAACACCUGAUCCUCCAGAGGCUCUCAAGGCUGUCCCUUGUUUAUCAUUGCAAGAUAUCCCCAAAAAGCCUAUUCAUGUACCAAUAGAGGUGUUUCCUUGUCUUGCAACUAUGACAUAUUUGGCCCAACAUUUUGGGUUUCUAUUUACCUCAUUUGGAGCUCAGAUGCCAGCUUAGCCCAAAAUUCUGGCUCCAGCAGAGCUUAAAAAAUGGCCCAACAUUUGUUUUUUCUGAGUGGGUUAUAUAUUUUUAGCUUUCUUCCUUUUACUGUUUCAGUUAGACUAGAAAAAUGGCCAUAAAUGGCAUUUGCAUAUAUGCAGGUUGGAGAGAUAAACGGUGUCAAGGUUUUGCAACACGAUCUCUUCACCAAUGACGUUAUCUACUCUGAAGUUGUAUUUGACAUGGGUUCGAUGAAGAAAGAGCAUCUACAGUUGUUACCAUUGUUCUGGUGAGCUGGUUGAUCGAUACAUUGUUGUUGAUUUAUCAUGAAGAUUUGCUGUAUAGUAUGUGGCAUUUGAACUAACUAUGAGCAUGUGUGCCAGCCAAUCCUUACUGGAGAUGGGAACAAAAGACAUGGACUUCGUGCAACUCAAUCAAUUAAUUGGAAGAAAAACUGGAGGCAUAUCAGUUUAUCCAUUCACAUCACCAGUUAGGGGUAAAGAAGAUCCUCUUACUCGCAUCAUCGUUCGGGGAAAGGCAAUGGCAACACGAGUAGAAGACUUGUUUAAUCUGGUAUGCUUUUGCUAAUUUUCUAUAUAUAUGUUGCCAAAGGGAAUGCCAGGGUGCAGAAGAUAUGCUUGCUACUUAAUCUGUUAACUUGCAUGAGAACUGAUCUUGUGCAAUCGCUGCUCGCAUAUUGCAUAAGGGAAAUAAACAUUUUUUGUCGUAUUUCAGAUGUAUACCAUUCUUCAAGAUGUUCAGUUCACAGAACAACAGAGGUUCAAGCAGUUUGUUUCUCAAAGUAAAGCAAGAAUGGAGGUACUAAACUAUCUCUUUAUAUUUAAAUUGUCAUAAAUUUCCUUUGAUGUGGUCACGUAACGAUUUGUCCAAUACAGAAUCGCUUGAGGGGCAGUGGCCAUGGCAUAGCAGCUGCUAGAAUGGACGCUAAGUUAAAUGCAGCUGGAUGGAUUUCUGAACAAAUGGGUGGUGUUAGGUAAUAUUCUUUAUGGUAUAUGCACAUAUGCAGAUUGUCAAGUCAGCUGUCUCCCGGAAUGGAAUUUAUCAUUACUUCCUCCUAGGCAUAUUGCAUUACUCUGCGGUAGCCUAUUGUAGGUUUACCUCUAUGAUAUGGUUUCUUGGUUUAUUCUCUUUUUUGUUUCUUUUGUGUGAAUCUUUUCAUUGCUUUGAUAAGCCAUUUGUAAGAAACACAAUUGUCUUCCGCCCAUGUAGCCUCUCUAUUUUUUUUUCCGGCAUGCUACUAUGCCAAGAUAUUCAUUUAUUUGUAAUUUGUAUGCUGCUAUUGGCAGUUAUCUCGAGUAUCUGCGGGACCUGGAAACUAAGAUUGAUCAAGAUUGGGACAGCAUAUCAUCUUCACUUGAGGAGAUGAGAAAGUCUAUUUUUUCCAAGAAUGGCUGCUUGAUCAACCUAACAAGUGAUGGGAAAAAUCUUGAAAAAUCAAGCCAACAUAUUGCUAAAUUUCUUGAUUCACUCCCAAGUAGCCCAUCCCUUGGAAGUGAUCCAUGGCUUUCUCGACUACCAUAUGUUAACGAAGCCAUUGUUGUCCCAACUCAGGUAAGGGCUAUUAGUCUGAAUGGCUUACAACAAUAAUUGAGAGAUUAUUCCUCAUUGGGAAUUAGGCAUAGUGAAUUUUCAAUAUCAUUCUGUUUUUUCAGGUAAAUUAUGUUGGCAAAGCUGGAAACCUUUACCAAAGUGGAUACCAGCUCAAUGGAAGUGCCUAUGUCAUCUCGAAGCACAUAAGCAAUACAUGGUUAUGGGACCGUGUUCGAGUUAGUGGUGGUGCAUAUGGAGGCUUUUGUGAUUUUGACACCCAUUCAGGUACUUCUAUUCUAGUUUUGUUUCUUGACCUGUUGUUUCAACUUUUCCCAUAUAACAGGUAAAAUGGUAGAAAACUAGGUCCCAUUGCCCUCCCUUUUAUAUUUAUUAUAGUUUUGUGUUACACUUCCUGCUGGGUAAAUUAUUCACAUUAUGCUAACUAUUGUUUACUGUUGCAGGAGUGUUCUCCUAUUUGUCAUAUCGUGACCCAAACUUACUGAAAACACUAGAAGUCUAUGAUGAGACAGCAAAAUUCCUUAGAGAGCUAGAAAUGGAUGAUGAUGCGCUCGCAAAAGCUAUUAUUGGAACCAUUGGCGAUGUUGACGCCUACCAGCUACCGGAUGCUAAAGGUUACAGCAGGUAUGUAAACCUCUGUUUGUGCUGCGUACUCUCGUACAGCACAAAUCAACCAAUAAUUGAUGAUAUACCUUAUUGGUGGUUUUGAUCAAACAUCUAUAUUGAUGAAGACCAAUAGUGGUAUAUUGAUGAAGACCAAUAGUGGUGUACUGUAAACCGGUGUCUUGUCACUUGUAUGCACACGGGCAGUACAGCCCAGCAACACUCUCUGUGACCCAGCCUCAUUUCAGUGCAGUAGGCCCAAGCCUGAAAAAUGUGAAUUAAAUGUACUGAUUUUUUUGGGGGAAAUAGGUCCUGCUACUGGUACACCCUGGUCUUUGAACACAUCUAGUAGAUUAUAUAGUACAGUGUCUUAUUGGAAAUACUCUUAUAUAGUACUAUGUGAUUGUACUAAUCGCGCACAUUACCUUUUUUCAGUCUAGUGCGAUAUUUACUGGGCAUCACGGACGAGGAACGUCAACAAAGACGUGAAGAGAUACUAUCAACAAAGUAAGCAAAUCCAAGAUACAAACAUAGUAGAAAUCUUUUUUUCUUCUUCUGCUUGUCGGAUUCUCAAGCGAGAUGUUUUCUACACAAGGAACAUUGAUUGUGUUGUUUUUUUUCUGGUGGCAGCCUGAAGGAUUUCAGGGAGUUUGCUGAUGCAGUCGAAAGCAUCAAAGACAACGGGGUUGUGGUUGCUGUUGCAUCACCUAAUGAUGUGGAAGCUGCAAACAAGGAGAAGCAGGUAUUCCCAGAAGUAAAGAAGUGCCUGUGAGGUCCUCCGCUCCUGCCUUUGCAGGAUUAGUCGUGAGGUGUUUCUUCUUCUUCGAAAUUUCCACUUCAGGCCUUCACCCUUGACUGCAAGUCUGCCAGUGUAACACAUGGCGGGAGCAACAUCUCGACGCCAAUGGCUGUAACCGAAUCCUGGCUUCUCUUUUCCCAUGCAAUUUUGGGAGGCAAUAAUUAGUUCAGAGCGAGGAGCGAAGCACAUUGGUAUGUGCUAGACUUCUCACGGCUUGCGAUGCUGUGUUUCCCCAUGUAAGCUUAUAGCUCAGUCAAGUCGGAUGUAGACAAUGAUUCAGACAGAAUAGAAAAAGGAGAGAAUGAGAUUUGCUCAAAUUGUUUUGGGUUUUCCAUAUUGAAUACACCCUGUCCAUGGAUUGCAAACCGGUUUCAUCACAAUUUUUUUCGACGAAUGUUUUGAUCACACGCUCACACUGAGAUUGCUAUCUAUGAUCUCCUUAUCCUGACUAAGCCGGACAAAUAGGAAACAUGAAUCUGCCAAAUCAUGUACGAGUAAAUUGUAAAUUGUAAUGCAUCUUUCUGAAUAGCGAUAGAUAUCCAAGCAGAGGAAACUGCAGUAAUGGUGAAAUUGGCUUCGUGCUCUGCUACUGCUAGUGGUACGCCUGGUGCUGCUAAGCGGAAGCCAUGGCCACGGCUCCCGCUCCGUUGAGAAGUAGCGCGGCGACCCUCGCGUUGUAGCUGGGAGGAGCACCCAGGGCGGAGGCCUCGCUCGCUUUCGGGAGUAGCGCGGUGGGCGAAGAGCGGAAGGGAUCGCGGAGGGCGUGGCCCUGCCGAGGAGGACAUCUCCGGCCGGAACGUGGGCGGCGCGAGCAGACGCCGCCGCCGCAAUCGCCGGGAGCCCGGGAUGCUGGAUUGCGGUACACGAAUUUUUCAAAUAGCCCCCUAAAUUUGAUCGUUAUUAAUAAUCGCGAUCCAAAUAUUUACACAAAACCCCCUAUAUUGGAUCGCGAUUAAUAUUCGCGAUCCAACAUUUUGCAAAAACACCCCCAUUUCGGGUGCGACGAUCAACGGCGGCGGACUGAAGCAGACUGAGUCGGGGCGCGCGGCGACGGCCCGCCGGUGAACGGUGGCAAAAGAGGUGCGCACAACAUAUUACCUGCGGCGGAGAUCUCGAAGGUCUGUUAGUGAGCUCUGAUUUUGCCGCUCUUCAGUCCAACAGAUGCGGCGACGAGGAGAUCACGUUUGGGAAAGGUUCCCGGAACGUUUGAUAGAAGAUUGGAAGUUCGAAGCGCUGAUUUUGGGGGUCGAUUUGAAGGAAUUGGAGUUUGUGGUGGCGCAAUUCGAGAUAGUCCAACCACGGCAGCCCUCGCCGUGCCGGAAGACGAAGCCGGGGAGGAGAGGGUGUGGCUGCUGGCUGGGGGGACGAAAUGAAAUUGUGAAUGGCCGAGGGCCGAGAGGGAGGCGAGGAGAUGCGAAUGGAGGCGGAGAGGCAGGCGUGCGCAGCGGAUUCAGACAUUCAG
rnacentral:lncRNA from 1 species